rnacentral:rRNA from 1 species
UACGGAGGGUGCAAGCGUUGUUCGGAAUUAUUGGGCGUAAAGCGCGUGCAGGCGGUUGUGUAAGACAGGUGUGAAAUCCCCGGGCUUAACCUGGGAACUGCGCUUGUGACUGCACGGCUAGAGUACGGCAGAGGGGGGUGGAAUUCCACGUGUAGCAGUGAAAUGCGUAGAUAUGUGGAGGAACACCGAUGGCGAAGGCAGCCCCCUGGGCCGAUACUGACGCUCAUGCACGAAAGCGUGGGGAGCAAACAGGAUUAGAAACCCC